CAUAUAGUACGUUAAAGGGUGUAGGUAUAUUUUGAGCAGGCAAAUCCGUUCAGAAUGCUGAAACCUGAUAGUACCGCAAGCCUUCGGGUAAGUGGAUAGUUGCAGUAAUCAGACUUCCAAGAAAAACCUCUAAACUUCAGUUAUUAGUACCCGUACCGUAAACCGACACAGGUAGUUGAGAAGAAUAUUCUAAGGCGCUCGAGUGAUUCAUGGCUAAGGAACUCGGCAAAUUAACCCUGUAACUUCGGGAUAAAGGGUGCCCCGAGCAAUCGGGGCCGCAGAGAAUAGGCCCAGGCGACUGUUUAUCAAAAACACAGGGCUUUGCAAAAUCGAAAGAUGAAGUAUAAGGCCUGACACCUGCCCGGUGCUGGAAGGUUAAAAGGAGAUGUUAGGGGCAACCCGAAGCAUUGAAUUGAAGCCCCAGUAAACGGCGGCCGUAACAAUAACGGUCCUAAGGUAGCGAAAUUCCUUGUCGGGUAAGUUCCGACCUGCACGAAUGGUGUAACGAUCUGGGCACUGUCUCGGCCAUGAGCUCGGUGAAAUUGUAGUAUCGGUGAAGAUGCCGAUUACCCGCAACGGGACGGAAAGACCCCGUGAACCUUUACUAUAGCUUAACAUUGCUGCUGGGUAAAUGAUGUGUAGGAUAGGUGGGAGGCCGCGAAGCGGGAGCGCUAGCUCUCGUGGAGCCAACCUUGAAAUACCACCCUUCGUUUAUCUGGCAUCUAACUCCCUUGAUGGGGAAGACAGUGUUUGGUGGGUAGUUUGACUGGGGUGGUCGCCUCCAAAAGAGUAACGGAGGCUUCUAAAGGUACCCUCAGCACGCUUGGUAACCGUGCGUUGAGUGCAAUAGCAUAAGGGUGCUUGACUGAGAGACUGACAAGUCGAGCAGGGACGAAAGUCGAGUAUAGUGAUCCGGUGGUUCCGUAUGGAAGGGCCAUCGCUCAAAGGAUAAAAGGUACUCCCGGGAUAACAGGCUGAUCUCCCCCAAGAGCUCACAUCGACGGGGAGGUUUGGCACCUCGAUGUCGGCUCGUCACAUCCUGGGGCUGGAGAAGGUCCCAAGGGUUCGGCUGUUCGCCGAUUAAAGUGGCACGCGAGCUGGGUUCAGAACGUCGUGAGACAGUUCGGUCCCUAUCUGUUGUGGGCGUUUGAAGUUUGCGUGGGCCUGACCCUAGUACGAGAGGACCGGGUCGGACGAACCGCUGGUGUAUCAGUUGUCCCGCCAGGGGCACCGCUGAGUAGCUAUGUUCGGUUGAGAUAAGCACUGAAAGCAUCUAAGUGCGAAGCUCGCCACAAGAUUAGACUUCCCAGGGCCGUUGAAGACUACGACGUUGAUAGGUUGCAGGUGUACGUACAGUAAUGUACUUAGCCGAGCAAUACUAAUUGCCCAUAUGCUUCCAAAA
rnacentral:rRNA from 1 species